GAUUGUUCACCCACCAAUAGGGAACGUGAGCUGGGUUUAGACCAUCGGGAGACAGGUUAGUUUUGCCCUACUGAUGACAGUGUCACAAUAGUAAUUCAACCUAGUAUGAGAGGAAGCAUUGAUUUGCACAAUUGGUCAUCGCGCUUGGUUAAAAAGCCAGUGGCGUAAAGCUACCAUGCGCUGGAUUAUGACUGAACGCCUCUAUGUCAGAAUCUGGGAUAGAAGCGAUGCAUGCACCCGCUGCUCGCUUGUCGACCCGCAAUAGGGCGCGUCCAGCCCCCAAAGGCAUGUGUCUUUGGUGAAGCCCGCGCAGCAAAUGAGCCGCGCGGGCCGCCUUGAAGUACAAUUCCUAUCUCGAGCGGCAAGUAGAAUCCUUUGCAGAUGACUUAAAUACGUGAUGAGGUAUUGUAAAUGGCAAAGUGGCCUUACUGCAAUGAUCCACUGAGAU
rnacentral:rRNA from 1 species